AGAGUUUGAUCCUGGCUCAGGAUGAACGCUAGCGACAGGCUUAACACAUGCAAGUCGAGGGGCAGCGGGGAGGAAGCUUGCUUUCUCUGCCGGCGACCGGCGCACGGGUGAGUAACGCGUAUGCAACCUACCCAUCAGAGGGGGAUAACCCGGAGAAAUUCGGACUAAUACCCCAUGAAGCAGGGGUUCCGCAUGGAAAUAUUUGCUAAAGGCACGCCGCUGAUGGAUGGGCAUGCGUGACAUUAGGUAGUUGGCGGGGCAACGGCCCACCAAGCCAUCGAUGUCUAGGGGUUCUGAGAGGAAGGUCCCCCACACUGGUACUGAGACACGGACCAGACUCCUACGGGAGGCAGCAGUGAGGAAUAUUGGUCAAUGGACGCAAGUCUGAACCAGCCAAGUCGCGUGCAGGAAGAAGUAUCUAUGGUAUGUAAACUGCUUUUAUCCGGGAAUAAAGUGUCCUACGAGUAGGAUUUUGCAUGUACCGGAAGAAUAAGGAUCGGCUAACUCCGUGCCAGCAGCCGCGGUAAUACGGAGGAUUCGAGCGUUAUCCGGAUUUAUUGGGUUUAAAGGGUGCGUAGGCGGAAUAUUAAGUCAGCGGUGAAAUUUUGCGGCUCAACCGUAAAACUGCCGUUGAAACUGGUAAUCUAGAGUGCGAAUGAGGCUGGCGGAAUGUGAUGUGUAGCGGUGAAAUGCUUAGAUAUGUCACAGAACACCGAUUGCGAAGGCAGCUAGCUAGAACGCUACUGACGCUGAGGCACGAAAGCGUGGGGAUCAAACAGGAUUAGAUACCCUGGUAGUCCACGCAGUAAACGAUGAUUACUCGCUGUUUGCGAUAUACAGUAAGCGGCCAAGCGAAAGCGUUAAGUAAUCCACCUGGGGAGUACGCCGGCAACGGUGAAACUCAAAGGAAUUGACGGGGGCCCGCACAAGCGGAGGAACAUGUGGUUUAAUUCGAUGAUACGCGAGGAACCUUACCUGGGCUUGAAAUGCAGAGGAAUAUAGUGGAAACAUUAUAGCCAGCAAUGGUCUCUGUGUAGGUGCUGCAUGGUUGUCGUCAGCUCGUGCCGUGAGGUGUCGGCUUAAGUGCCAUAACGAGCGCAACCCUUGUCUGUAGUUACUAACAGGUAGUGCUGAGGACUCUACGGAGACUGCCAUCGUAAGGUGAGAGGAAGGUGGGGAUGACGUCAAAUCAGCACGGCCCUUACGUCCGGGGCGACACACGUGUUACAAUGGGGAGUACAGAGGGAAGCUACCAGGUGACUGGAUGCAAAUCUUCAAAACUUUUCUCAGUUCGGAUCGGAGUCUGCAACUCGACUCCGUGAAGCUGGAUUCGCUAGUAAUCGCGCAUCAGCCAUGGCGCGGUGAAUACGUUCCCGGGCCUUGCACUCACCGCCCGUCA
rnacentral:rRNA from 1 species